UACGCAGGGGGCUAGCGUUGCUCGGAAUCACUGGGCGUAAAGCGCCCGUAGGCGGAUUGUUAAGUCAGGGGUGAAAUCCUGGAGCUCAACUCCAGAACUGCCUUUGAUACUGGCGAUCUCGAGUCCGGGAGAGGUGAGUGGAACUGCGAGUGUAGAGGUGAAAUUCGUAGAUAUUCGCAAGAACACCAGUGGCGAAGGCGGCUCACUGGCCCGGUACUGACGCUGAGGUGCGAAAGCGUGGGGAGCAAACAGG
rnacentral:rRNA from 1 species